CAGAGGGUGCAAGCGUUGUUCGGAAUUAUUGGGCGUAAAGCGCGUGUAGGCGGCUUGGCAAGUCGGGUGUGAAAGCCCUCAGCUCAACUGAGGAAGUGCGCCCGAAACUGCUUUGCUUGAGUGCCGGAGAGGAUGGCGGAAUUCCCCAAGUAGAGGUGAAAUUCGUAGAUAUGGGGAGGAACACCGGUGGCGAAGGCGGCCAUCUGGACGGUAACUGACGCUGAGACGCGAAAGCGUGGGUAGCAAACAGGAUUAGAUACCCUGGUAGUCCACGCCGUAAACGAUGAGAACUAGGUGUCGUGGGUGUUGACCCCCGCGGUGCCGAAGCUAACGCAUUAAGUUCUCCGCCUGGGAAGUACGGCCGCAAGGCUAA
rnacentral:rRNA from 1 species